AAAAAUUUUAUAUUAUGUUACUGAUGUGAUGCCUCCAACACAUAUGAAAAUAUUUUAAAUUCAUCAAUUUUAUCAUAAUUUAAAAAAAUAUUUUAUUAUAUUUUUUUAGUUGAUCGGAAAUAAAUGAUGUGAUGUAAGUAUUAUAUAAUAAAUUUUUUCAAUAACAUUAGAUAGGGGACGCCCUUGUACUAUUAAUUGAUAUUUGGUGUUAAAUAUAAAAUUAUAUAUAAAUAUUAUUUUUUAAUAGUUUAAAUUUUUAAAAUAUAAUAAAUAUUUUACAGAAUAUCAUAAUAAAAAAUUUUGAAUUUAAAUUAUAUUAGAUUUUUAAUAUUAUUAAUUUUUUUAUUUAAUUUAAAGAGUCUUACAGGAUCAGAGGUAAUUAAAAAAUAUAAAAAUAUAUAAACAACCGAUGUGAUGGGUUGGUGGAGCAACGGAUGUGAUUGGCCGGUAGGUAUACAUCGUGCGGAUUUGGUGGACGUGGCGCGCGAGAUGUUCGUGUUCGGGGGACUGACGUCCUCCCUCACCGGCGUCGAGAGUUUGUGCAGCGACAGCUGACAGCUCAGUCACUUUUUGCAGCCGAUAGUGAAAGGUCUCAAUUAUUUAAUUAGAAAUAAAAGGGGUAAUUUUAUACGUCUUUUUAUAAAAUUUUUUAAUUAUAAAUUAAUGAUCCAUUUGUAUAAAAAAAUUUACUAAUUUUAAAUUUUUAUAAAACUAGACCAUUCUUUUGAAUUUUAAAGAUUUGAAUUGAAUUUUUAAUAAACUGAUCAAAAUAUUCUUAUUCUCUUUUUUCUUUUUUUCUUUUUUUUCUUUUUCAACCAAGAGGAUGACGAAGGCGGUUUGCCUCGUCUCUAUCCGGCGCACCCUCGCCCUCGCAUCCCCCUUCCUCGCCUCCGACCACGCCUAGGCCAGGUCGCGACCUUUUUUUCUUCUGUUUUUUUUCCGACCUCCCUCCAUUGCAUUUUCGGAUCAUUACGACAGUAAAGAGGAUAAUAUCACGCCCUCUUACUCUAUUUUUUUCCUCUCAUUUCUUUUUUUAUUCUCUUCCACCCCCUCCACCACCUCCCUCUCAUCUAGUUUUGUUGGGAUAUUUUUAUUUUUAAAAUAAAUAGUAAUUCUGUAUAAUUUAAUGUGUUGGAGAAAUAAAUUUUUUCCUCUUGCCAUAAUUAGUUAGUUUGCUGUUCAUAUUUGAAAAUUGGGUCAACAAAAAAUAUUAGUGGAUCAAGACUUAUUGGUUCAAUUAAUGGAUUAACGAAAAUUCACUAAUUGAACCAACAACGUCAAAAUAAUAUCAUAAAUAUUUAAUUUUAUUAUAUAAAAAUCUAUAUUAUUAUUUUAUUAUCAUACUUAGUUAUAAAAGUUAAUAGCUUUAUUAUAUAAGAAUAUGCAUUUAUUUUCAUAUAAUAUUUAGUUAUAAAAUAAUAAUUUUUAGACCAAAUAAGUAGAUAUAAGUUUUUAUGUUUCACUUUUUACAAGACUAAUUUGUACUGAAAGAAAAUAAAUUUAGCUAAAUUAAUUUUAAGUCGUUGGAUUUUAAUAUAACUUUAAUAAAAAAAAAACUUUCAGACAUUAUACUUAAAUCCGGACCGGUUCAUCAGUUCGAUAGUUGAACUAUCAGUCCAAAUAGUUUAAACGAUUUUUUUGACUCAUCCGGUUCAAAGGGUUGAAUCAAACCAUUUUAUUAAUUGGGCCACGCUUGAACUGGUUGAAUUGGCGGGUUCCACCCGAUUUUUGAAUCAUAGUAGAUAGCUUUUGAAAAUAAAAAAAUAAUUAGUGUUUCUAGUUAUUUUUUAAUACUGUUCAUUCAUUUUUAUUCAACGGCUUAGAUUUAAUUUUUUUUUAAAUUGUAACCUACAAUAAAAGGUCAUUUUGAGAGUGAUACCGAUUAUCAAGUACCCCAAAAAAGGGUAUGUUGGUCUUUUAAUAUAUGAAUAAUUUAGUAAUUUUAUCUCCAUUAUAUUAUCAAAUCUCUAUUCACUCUUUGUUUCUUCAUCCAUAGUAGAGAUGUAAAGGGGUAGGAUUAAAGGCGGAUUUUCAAAAAUUUGAACCCAAACCCGACUAUCAAAUCUGAAAUAACCUUUUAAUUAUAAAAAUACCCUCAUAUUAAAUAACAUUUUAGUUUGCUAUAUAAUGAAAUGAUAUUUUUAACCUUUAUUAAUGAACUAUUAAGAUCUUUUUUAUUUUUUUAUAAAAUGAACUUUCGAAUUAUUUCUCAAAAAUAAUAUUAUAAAUUUUUUUAUUUUCUGUUAUCAAAUAAGCACGGAAGGAUUAUAAACAAUUUACAUCUACAAGUACCCAUGAGACCUUAUUAAUUAUAUGGGAAAACUUCAAACACCCCCACUGAGGUUUCACACUUUCUUACUUUAGUACGCUAUGGUUUAAAGUGUAUCAAGUUAGUACCCUGUGGCCUGUGGUUUCACACUUUCUCACUUUAGUAUCCUGUAGUUUAAAGUGUAUCAAGUUAGUACCAUGUGGUUUCACACUUUCUCAUUUUAGUAUUCUGUGGUUUAAUAUUUCGUUAAAUUAUAUACAAAAAACUUUAGAUAUCCUAACUAGGUUUAUCAAAUAUUCAUUUUAGUACUCUUUAGUUUUAACUUUGUCAUUGAUUUAACGAAAAAAUUACUCUAAAAUGGAUAAUAAAAAGAAAAAAUUAAAAACAUAUGGUACUAACUUGAUACAAAAAUGAAACAACAGAGUAUUAAAUUGAUACACUUUAAAUCACAUGGUACAAAAGUGAGAAAUUGCGAAACCACAGGAUACUAACUUGAUACACUUUAAACCACAGGGUACUAAAAUAAAAAAAUGCAAAACUACAAGAAGGGUAUUUGAAGUGUUCCCUAAUUAUAUCUUUUAGAAAUCUUAAAGGACUCUGAACUCUUCAGCAUCUACGUUUACAGCCUCAAGAUUCGUUGAGAUGCUUCUGGAAGAUCAUAAAACUUUGGACAGUUAUCUCCUUUAAAGUUUAGAUUAUUAUAAAAGAAAAAUUAGGAAAAAAAAAAUUCUAAGUUCCUGACAUUCAGCUCUAAUUAAAAGAAAAGAAGUCAUGGGUGCAUUAGAGGAAAAAGCAAGCAGUACGUGUUGGCCAGAGCUGACCGAGCUGGGUUUUGGAGAAAGAGCGGCGUCGUGUGCGUUUGGUACCGGGGUUAUCCCGGAACAACACGGGAUAUCCCGAGUUGUAACCAGAUGGUAGAAGAACAUGUCAAAACAAAUUAUUUUGGAUUGUUCUUAAAUAACCUGUUAAAAGUUGUUUCUAGGAGAAUUGAGAAUAAUUUUAUUCUUCUUUUUAUUUUAUUAGAUAAAUAGAUAUAUAAAUAAAUAUAUUAAUAUAAAUAUUAUUUUUUAUGAUAAUAUGUUUAUACUUAAAUUUUAUUAUAUAAUAUAAAUUAAUUAAAUUUGAUAUAUUAUUUAUUUUAUUAAUUUUUAUUAUUUAUAUAUUAAUAUUUAAUUAUUUUAUUUUAUAUUAAGUAUUAUAUAUAUAUAUAUAAUUAUUUUUUCAUGCAUUAUAUAUUUUUUUAAUUUGUAUUGAAAUUUAUACUAUUAUUAAUUAAAAUUAUAAGGAUAUCGUUACAUAUAUUAUGAAUAAAUUAUAUAAAAUAAAUUAUUAUUAUAUAUAGUAAAAUAAAUAUACUAUUUUAAAUUAAAUUGUUAUAUAAAAUAUUAUAUUAUAAAUUACUAUAAAAAUAAUUUUAUAUAAAAUAUACUAAUGUAAAUUAAUUAUUUUAUUUUUAAAAUAUAUUUAGGCAUUGUUCUACACUUUUUAUCCAACGCUACUAAGGAUAUCCUCUAGAAUAUUUUCGAAUAUAUCCAAACAUAAAUUUACAAUUAUUCUAUCUUGUGCCGGAAUAUUCCCUAUUCUCAGGAACAACAAAAAUUGUUCUCCAAAAUAUAGUUCUCUAACCAAACGCAGCCUAGUGAACUGGUAGGAACAGUCGUCAUCUAUAUAAAAUUAUUAUUUUAUCUUUUCAAAUAAAAUUUUCUAUAGUCAUAAAUUUUUUUAUUUGCUUUUAAGUUAAGAACAAAAAAAAAUUUUAAUUUUUUACUUUUUUUCUAAUAUAUUCUUCUAUCGUCACCCAUUUUUCUUAUCUAAUCUUAAGUUAGGAGCAAAAUAGAUAUAUUUUACUAUUUUUUAACUAUGGUAGAAAUUUAACUUAGAUUUAACUUGAGAUGACUUUAUGGAAACUAACAACAUGAGUAUUUUUGAACAGAGAAAAGGAGUAUAUUUGAAAUUAAAAAAAAAAAAGAAGAUAUUUUAGAAGUUUAAGAAAUAUAUAGAUAAUUAUCCCAAAUCUAAUUAAAGUGCUACGAAAUUUUUUAAAAAAACAUACAUUUUGCAAGUAUAAUAUUUUAAUCUGCUACAACAAAAAACCAAAAGAAUUUAGUUCAACAGAUAUAUAUAUAUAUAAAAACCAUAAACAAAAUGAAGAAAGAGAGCACAAAAUAAAAGCAUGCAGAAAUAAAUUUAUAUAGUUCAAAAUACAAUAUAUGUCAGCAUGCGGCCGUAUGAAGACGAAGCGAAAAUUUUGUUACGAACUGUAAUAAGUAGUAGUAGUAGUAGUAGUUAAAAGCUGAGCCUCCUCUUCACCGCCCCCUCGUUAUCCCCCUCCCCUCCCCCGCCUUCCCUCCGGCAGAAGACGACCCACGCGUUGACCUCCAGCGCGACGCAGCUCCCGACGAGCGAGGCCAGCGCGAGGCAGUAGGCCAGCUUCCAGUACGUCCCGCCGAGCCCCAUCACCUCCAUCCCCUGGAACACGUUCACCACCCCGACCACCGCGCACCCGUACCCCACGAAGUGGUGGUACGACUUCCAGUACUUCCUGAACCGGUGCGUCGUCUUCGGCCGGAACAGCAGCGCCGCCGACUGCAGCCCCCCCGCCACCACCGCCGCCACGCCCAGCCCCCGGUGCAGCGAGUACGUCACCCCGGGCGACGCCCUCCCCAUCACCACGCCGAUCGCGAAGCCGGCGGCGCCCAGCAGGUAGGCGCUCGCCUGCACCGCCGCGUGCGCGUAGAACCACGUCGGCCCCACCGAGCUGCACUGCCGCAGGUAGCGCGCCACUGCGACGCCGGCCGGCAGGAGGAGCCCCCACGACAGGGAAUUCAGGACCGCGUGCGCGGCCCGGAGCGUGGCGGACGCGGCGGGCGGCACCUCGGUGGCGGUGGAGACGACGUCGAUGGUGGCGCGGGACGCGAGGUCGGAGGCGGCGGUGGGGUGGAUGGUCGGGGAGUAGCCCUGCACGUAGAGGCCGCGGUUCCAGACGUGGUGGACUCGGGUGCGGUUGGGGGACAGCUUGACGGUGGCGAAGAUCUGGACGCCGGCGCCGUCGCGGACUCCGUCGGGUGCGGCGGCGGCGGAGGAGGAGAGGAGGAGGUGGGUGUCGAGGGGGCGGGAGACGAGGGGGGCGGAUUGGAGCUUGACGGAGGGGUCGAGGACGAAGGGGAGGAGGAGGAGGGAGCCGGAGGAGGGGUCGGAUAAGGCGGCGAGGGCGCGGGUGCCGGUCAUGGACGGGGAGUCGGGGUUGAUGCCCCACGCCACCCAGCCGGAGGGGGAGAUGAAGCUUCCGGAGAAGGCGACGUCGAGGGUGGCAUUGCCGGGGUGGUACGUCCACGCCAACGACGCGCCCUGCGUCGGGAGGGCGAUGCACUUCUCGUAGGUUCUGAGGGAAGCCGCAGUGGUGCAGCGAGCGGCAUUUGCGGCAUCGGCAGCGACGGUUACGAUUGGUUGUAGAGGGACAGCAAGGAGAGAAGGGAGGAUGAGGAGGAGGAAGAAGAAUGGUUGCAUGGCUGGUAGUAGUCGUAGUAGUAGAGUACUCGAAAGAUGGAUUAUGGAAUUUGAGAUGGAUGGAGAAGAUCGAGUGGAUUUGUUGUGUGGUAUGAAGUAAGUGUGAGUUGGUGUUAGUGGGGAGGGAGGGGGGGGAGGUGAGUGCGGAAUCAGUAUUAUGGGAAUGGAUGGAGAGGGAGUAAUUGUUGUGGUGCUUAGCUUUGAAGGUAAGGGACACGAGUAAAUGGCUUCUAUGAGUAGUAGAGGUGGGGGCUCUCUUGUAUUUAUAUAUGCUGCGCCUUUUCCAACUGUUCUGUACCUCUUACUUAUUAAGCAAUGUUCCUUUUGCACCAAAAAUAGGCCACAUAUAUGUACUAAUUUUAUUAGUUUAUAAUUUAAAUUUUUUAAAAUAAAUGAGUGUAAAAUUUACAUUCUUACUUUUGAGUGUACCAAAACAACUAUUCCAUCUAACGCUUACUUUUUCUCAACUAAGUUGUAUCUUUAUUAUUUUACUAAAAAUUAAAAAAAAUUAGUACACUGGGAUUGUAGAGAUUGGAGUCUCUUUUUGGUUGUAGACUUGUCAUUUCUCUUUUUUUUAGGGCAUGUUUUGAUUGGCCCUUUUUUUGUUUUUUUUUAAUCGUAGAAUCAAAAUCAAAAUAAACCACUGUUUCAAUUACCUCUUUUAUAAUCUGGCUAAAAUAUCAAUAUGAGAAUUAAAUCCAGCUAGGGGGAAUCCAAACUUUGUUUUGAAAAUUCUCUAAUUAUAUUUCAUACUUUAGAUUUGAAAUUAAGUUUAAAAAUAUAACUUCAAUUUAAAUUAAAAUGUAAGUUUAAAUUUAGAAUUUACUUUUAAAAAAAAUUUUGAUUUUGAUUUCAACUUGAAUUGAAAUUUGAAUUCAACCAUGCCCUCUGACUUUUGAGUUAUGAAUUUAAGUCUAAAUUCAAAGUUCCAUUUUGUUUUUUAUAUUCAAAUUGCGAACACAAAUUUAAAUUCAAAUUUUUAUUCAAAUUAUAAACACAGAGUGUGGAUUUAAAUUAAAAUUGAAAUUUUAAUUUUUAGAUAAUAAUGCAAAAAUUAUUUUUUUACUAAAUUUACUUUCCAUUUUGAACUUUAAUCUCAAUCUUAAUUUUUUUAUUUGAAUCUUUAUUUAGUUGUAGUGUUCCUGGUAUUUAGCGGCCUGGGUGAUGUCAGCAUUUGAGGUUUGUCGACACAUCUGGAGACUGUUGGGACAAGUCGGGGUCGUUUGGCGCGAAAUAGACGCAAAACAGACUCAGCGCAAGGCGAGAGCAGAGUUCUAGUGUUGAGUACCGGUACCAGUGUGAGGAGUACUGGUACCCCAGUGGAUUACAGGGUUGGAUGCUCUCGGGUUUAAUUGAAUAUAUCCGAUGUUUAGUACCGGUACCUGAUGUCGAGUACCAGUAUCGAGCUCGGGUAUCGGUACUGCAUCGGGCUGGUACCGGUACCCAGUGUGCGAGGUUGCGGGCUGAAGGCCUAAGUACCGGUAUUCAAGUGGAAUACCGGUACUCCAGCUGGAUUUUUGAGUAGGUAAAGGGUAGCUUGGUCCUUUGCUUUGUCGGUAACUUCAACCUUAUCCUCAGCCUUUAUAUAGCUAUAGAGAGCUCAGAGAGGAGGAUGUUGGUUCUACUCCCUCUCUCUCUCUAGUUGUGGGACGUAGCUCGUGGUGGAGGUCGCGACUCGGGCUCGGGUGGUUUUCGACGUCCAUCCGAAGGGCCGUUCGAGCGUGUGUGCGUCGCGGUUGCACCAUUGGAGGCCGAGCGAGCGCGUAGUUUCCUUCUUUCGACUUCUCGCCGUUGUUGGACGAGCUACUCAAGGUGGGUUAAUAUUUACCGAAAUCAUCGAAUUACCUCCUAAGCCUUUGCAUCGUCAACAUGUUAUGUCUGUUUUGUUUCUGUUUGCUAGCACUCAAAUUCAUGAAAUUUGUAUGUUAGAGUAUAAAAUCUGAAUUUGGAGUUGAGCUAGUGUUUGUAUACAUGUUGGACUUGGAAUUGACUUAGGAGAAAACACUCUAAUCCUUCACUGUCAUUUUUUUCUAAAAGUUACCAGCUUUAACUUUAGAAACUAUGGUUCUUUUGUAUCGCCACUGUUUGUAUGCGGUGAAUGCCCAGAUUAGUAUAGGAUGAGUUUACGCUCGUGUUGGGAUACCGAGCCUGUGUUACGGUAGUGUGUAGACUGCUUCAUAUUGUUGGGUGCCGUCGUGGUUGACGGUGGACCAGAUUUUCUGUAUAUUGCAUCAGAUUGUGCCAAGGGCAGGUAGACUUUGGUUGUUAGACCAGUUAGACCUUUUGCUUUGACUACAGCCUGUGAGAGCCUGAUUGAGCUCGGUAGAGACACACUCGCACACUCGUAUGGGCCGCGCCCACGAGUGCCGCUCCGGAGUCUGGCUACAUAGCGUUGCGUUAAUGUCGUAGCAGUCCGUUUAGGACUUUGCUCUCCACCGGCAGCCCUCGGGGUGGUGUACGGUGUAGCUUAGACAUGCGGGAUGGGUAUUUCACCGUCCCCAGUGAGAUUGGGUCAGUGAGAUGCAUAUUAUAUCUACAGAUAGCUUGCAUUAGUUAGCGGUAGUAGAGUGGCAUGUAGCUGUAGAGUUCCUUUCAGCUUUCUUUACUAUCUGUUGUGCAUAUUUCUGUAGACUUAGUGGAUAAGCCGUUGAGGUCGGUGGCGGCACCCACUGAGGACUACUCUCUUUUGUAGCAGUUCUCAUACCCAGUUGUUGACCCCUUUUUGUAGAGCCUUCGUCUGUGGCUGCUGCUGUUGCUGAUUCCGACUGAGGUAAGAGAGUCACGAGUUAGAGCCAUCCCUUUCCUGGUUGCCAGUUAGAGAAGCACCUUCCACAUGUAGUUUUGGGGUGUUUUGUACAUCUGGUUGUUGUCGGGGUACUCGCUGGAGCGAGUUGUGUAGUGGACUUUUUGUAUGUACAGGAACCCCUCGAGGUUUUUAUAUAUAUAUGCUAUUUUUUUUCAGUUUAGCAACUCUUACCUUAUGGUUGUAUCUUGUUUUUGUUUACAGUUACAGCUAUCGCUUUGUAUAUAGGAAAGAUUCCUAUAUAUACGACGGGUUUGUUGGCGUGCCCGGGGAAACAUGAUAAUCCGGGGCGUGACAUUAGUAUUGUAUUUUAAUUUUAUGUUUAAAUUUGAUUUUGAAUUUGAGUAUGAUUUUGAUGUUGAAUUUAAACCUAAAUAUUAUGUUCAAAAUAUGAAUUUAAAGUCAUAUUAAAUUUAUAUUAAAAUUAAAUUUAAACCUUAAUUCAAAUUGUAAUAUUAAGUUUGACUUUGAAUUUAAUUGUAAAUUAGUUUAUUAUUUUGAAUUGUCAACUCAAUUUUCAAUUUUGAAUUUUUUUUUCAAAAAUUAUAUUUUUAAAUUGUGGCUUAUCAUGUUAAAAGUUUGACGUAAAUAUUUACUAUUUAAGUUUCAAUUUGUAAAUUUACUUUUUCUAUUUGAGUUUUGAACUCAAUUUUAACUUAAUUUUAUAUUUUGAAUUUUUUAUUUAAUAUUAUUUUGGAUAAUCAAAAUUUUCUCAGUCUCCACUAAAUAAGUGAAGAUAGAAAUCGGUUAUUCCUAUUACGAUCAUUAUUCCAAAUCAAACAUAUACGAGGAUAUCACUAUUUUGUUUGCAAUUUCAGUCUAUUUUUAUUUACGUUCUGAAUUUGAUUUCACUAUAUUAUUUUUUUUGAAUUUUUAGUUUAGGAAACUAGAGUAAUAUGAUGAGUGCAUAGCAGUUGGUUUUUAGAUGAAAAAUAUGUAAGAUUUACACUUAUUUUUUAGUGUACAAACAACACUGCUGUAAACAUGUAGAAAGAUUCUAAAUGGUUUGGUAUUUUUGUAAAAUAGACGUCUUUAUUUCUAAUUUGGCACUUAAAUUUCUAAACUUAAUCAAAUAAUUUAAUAAGUCAAAGUCCUCAAUCAAAAUUACUAACUAUACAGCCAUUUUAGUCCGUUUUGUACAUGCUUUUAUAUAACUUUACAACACAAAUACCGACCGUUCUUAGAGCAAGUGGCAAAGGGCUUGAUGGUUGGUACCCAAGACCCAAGUUCGAAUCCUAGUUGAUUCACAUUUUCAGCUAAGUUUAUUUCUAAAUGAAAUAAAUGAAGCGGGUAGCGUGCUACCUAUCUCUCAUCAAAAAAAAAAAAAAAAAAAAACUUUACAACACAAAUCUGUUAAAGAAGUCUAUUAAUUUUUAACAUUCUAGGUAUGAUAAUUAAGCAAACAGGAAGUGUAAGCUGAACCUAUCUUCAAUUUUAUUGUUAUUUUCAUGCGUUUAAAUAGAGAAAAUAAAUUUUAUUGUGUUUUAAAUUAAAAGAUUUAUGCAAUAUAGUCAACUAAAACAAAAGUGUAUUUAGUAAUUUUGAUUAAGAACAAAAGAUAAAUUUUAAAGAGUCUAAUUAACUAACAAAAUUAAAAGUUUCGAUGCCUCUUUCCGAAAAUGCUAAAAGCUCAGAGAAUCUUUGUACAUUUUUUUCGAACAAAUAAUGUAAAUUUUACAACAACCAUAAAUAAUGUAAUUUUUACAACCUUAUAAUCCAUUGACCCUAAUUUAUUCCUUCUUUUGAGCCUAUUACCAGUUUUCUUGGACUAUAGGUAGGGAUGUAGGGUUUUGGUACAAAUAAUAGACCUACAAGCCAUUUCAGUAGAAGAGGCCAUUUCGAAGUAGGCCCCUCAGCAUUACAACAUUCUGAUUGACACCUUUGUAAUUUUUAAUUUUUUGUAAUUGAGUAAUUUUAGAUAGUCGAGUUAAAUAUCACAUAAAAUUUAAUGGCUCUACUUACUAUUGGCAUUUAACUAAUUUUCAACAUAAUCGACUAAAACUACAUACGUAGUUUCCGAAUGAUCAACAGUUGAGAGGGAAUGUCCAAAGUGAAGGUGCAGCGACCAGUUGAAAAUGAUCUGUAAUUGAGGGGUCUCUAUACAUUUUUAUCCUAGGUUUUGUAAUUUUGUUUAAGUUCAAUUACAAUUAAUUAAAGGAGCUUUUCGAAAAUUAAACUUCAAAAGUGAAAAUUUCAAAUUCGAACAUCUGAUUAUAGUACGUAAUAUUAGGGAAAAGAUAUCCAAAAGACAUUAAAUGUACUCUUUUCUUAAUAUAGUUCAUUAUUGAACAGAACCUUCCCUGCAAAGUCCAAACAACUCUUAAUAUGAUUUUUAACAUGUCAUGUGGGAGGCUUUGUAUUGGAAGUAUGUUUGUUGUGUGCUUGGCUUUGAAGGCAAGGGUGGGUCUACUAAGCUUUGAUUACAUGCACUGUUUUGGGAUUGUAAAUGGAGAACAUGUUAUCCUUAUGAAAAAGUGGACAUAAAAGCAAUGAAAAAAAAGAAAGAGAGCAUGUUUUCAGGGACAGCAAUUUGUGAGUGUCACUGGAGAUUAGUGUGUGGGUAGCUUUUCAGUAUUUUAACAAAAUCAGAUCACAAGAAAGGGUGCUAAUUAAAUAAAGUUCCAUUAAGGUACUAGGGUUUGCUUAAACAAUUAAUGAGGAAUGCAUUCACUUCCACUGAUUAUUAUAUGCUAAUGAAGGGUUUUUAAACUCCAUGGCUUUAAUUUCCGUCAUAAACUACACUAGCUAGGAAGGUGUGUAAUAAAAAGUUAGACUAGAGUGUUACCAAUAGCAUCAAUAUCUAGAUGUGGGCAUUUGAAUUAAUUAUCUAUUUCAUCUUCUAUACUUAUCUAUUAAUUCUCAAUGAUUUGUACACGUAGCAUCACCACCUUCAUUCUUGAAAGUGGAUCCCAUUUGACCACCUUUAUUCCUAGGAGUGGGUCCCACUUAUCAGGUUCUUUUUUGCGUUGAGUCAAUUUUUUCUUUUUCUUCAUUUUUAGAUUCAGUUAAGUAAUAUUUCUCACUUUUGAAUCAGAUUUUUUAUUUACCUGAAACUGAAUCAGAUUUUCUAUUCAUUUGAACUGUCUUUACAUGCCAAGUUCUAUUUUAGGUUCAGUUCGAUUUCUUUUUUCUUCAUUCUUGGGUUUGGUUCAGUAAUAUUUUUUUAUAUUUAAACCGAAUUUUCUAUUCACUUGAAACAGAUAGAUUUUCUAUUCUUUUGAACCAUCUUCACCUAUUAGGUUCUCUUUUCACUUCGGUCUGAUUUUUUUUCCCCUUCAUUUUUGGAUUCGAUCCAGUAAUAUUACCUUACCUUUGAACCGAAUUUUCUAUUUGCAUCUCUCUGCAUUCUCACCUUCCUUGAAACGAACCGACUCUUUAUAUUUUGCUAUUGUAUUUUUGUAGUUCCAUCUCAUCCCUCUCAACCCCUCAUCUCUUCUCAUCUCUAUUUGGAAACAUACAUCCCCUCACCUCUUUCCAUAUCUUUUCAAAACGUACACCCCCUUAUCUUUCCGUAUCUCGCGAUCAUUGCACACCCCUCCAACUACCCACAUCUGUUUCCAAAAUCCUAAUUACCCUCUCUCUAUCUUAAACUCUGUUUUUUCUUCUUCUUGUCAUCCCCUCUCUCUUUAUUAAUGGAGGAAUUGAUGCUCAUGUCAUUUUUGAUGGAAACUGAUUUUCCAACAAAGAUGAAAUACUCUAAUCAAUGAAUAAUUUGAGAUUUCAACAAUAUGAAAAUCAGGUUAUUUAUGAAGAACUAUUUUUGUGUAUUUUCUCUAAAAUUUAUCUGAACUAAUUAUUAACUACUCUUUCAUUAUUUUUAAUUUUUUUCACAUGUUAUAAUUAUCUUGCUUCCAGGACCAUAGUACUUUACUAAUGGAUAAAAGAUUUGUUAUAUUUGGUUUAGAUUUGUAGUUAUCUAAAUUGGAGUUAAAUUCUAAUCUAAUUGGGAUUGGAUAUAAUUUAGAUUUAAUUUGGCAUAUAUGAAUUAUAAUUAGGAGUGUAAUUCUAAUUGAAUUAGAAUUAGACUCUAGUUAGGAGACAUGUAUUAUAUAUACAUGCUACGGCCAAGUUAAUGACGCCGCGACCAAAUUUGAGAAGCCAUGCAAAUUAAUUAAGAGCAUAUUGGUAGAUGCAUGUACGGAUGGAGAAGCCGGAUCUCUAAUUAAUUAAGUGCCUAAUUAAGUCCUCUCUUGAAUCCAAGAAAAUCGAUUCUUGGGGCUGGUGGUCACGAACACAGCGGCAGCACAUAUCGGUGUACUCUGUUCUUUUCUUUUCGUUUCCUGCAUUAAGUUAUUUUCUGAAUUUAUUUUUCGCCGUUCCGAUUUUAACAAGAUUGGAUGGUAUUCUUUGUAUACAAACAAUUGCUUACUUUUGUCCUCCAUAUAUGAGCAAAUGUUUCAUGUUAACUAAUUAACGAAUUGUUUUGCUUAAAUAUUUUUGUAGUUAAACUACGUAAACAAAGCAAGCCAAACAGAUGAUAUGAAAUCACAAAAGAGGCAUGUGCUUUUUUAUAUAACAAUGAACAUGGAAGAGAGAAUACCACGUACUAAAAGUUCGACUUGUAUUUUAAGAUUUGCAGUUAUCGUAGAAGUAUUCAUACUUUUUAAUAUUCUUUUCAUAUUAUGUUUGAAUUAUAAACUAUUAUACAAUUGUUCCUGUUUUGUCUGUGCAUGUUUUUUUCUUUUUUUUUUUUUGUCUUCUUUGAUUCAGGCAUUGGACGAUGAUUGCAUGUAGCAUGCUUUAGUUUUCUUUUUCUUAAUUCUAUGCUCUUCUUAUAUUCUUUUUCUUCUAAAAUUUUUAUAUUUUUUUUAUCUAUGUUUUGAUUUUGAUUAUUUAGAAUUAUUUUUAUAUUUACUCUUUAGGUAAGAUAGAAUUUUGACUAUAACAAUAUUUAUCCGUUACAUCGUGUGGGCUACUAUACUAGUUGAACAUGAUUUUACAUUCAAAGAAACUAAAUUUUAUAUGUUUUAUUUAUUAUGCACGUAUCUAAUAAUUAAGAAGUCUCAAAAUGAGAAUAUUUUGAUAGUUUGCAAGAUGUUUUUUUGUUUAAUGGUGUAUAAAACUCAAAUGGGUUAGAUUUUGACUGUAAUUUUUUUUAAAAAAAAUAUCUAGAUCAAAAUCUAAAAUAUCAAUCUUGAAUUAUAUAUCUUAAUCUUUAAUUUUAGAAUUUUAUUUGAUUUUGACUUUUCUAUUUUGUUGUCGUUUGAUGAAGCAGAAACUUUAUUCUAAAAUUAGUGAAACUAGGUUAGCAAAGAGUUCACAUGUCCAAAAUAUAUAUAAUCGAUUUGGAUGCUCUAUUAGGGGGCAAGCAUCUUCGGUUCGGUUCGGUUUUUAGCAGUUUUUUUAAAAACUAAACCAAACCAAAUUAGAAGCAUAAAACCGAACUGCACCGAACCAAAAUAAUUCGGUUGGUUCUAUUUGGUUUAAUUUGAUUUCAAUAAAAUAUUUUUGUUUGAUAUAAAUCAUUUUAAAUUAUUAAAAAUAAAAUAUAACCAUGGCUAAUUUUAUAUUAAAUUUAUUAAUCUAAAGGUAAUAAUAAUCAAUAUCUCUAAUUAUUUAAUUAUUAUUCAAGAUCAAUAAAAAUUACUUUAAAUGUGAGGCUAAUUUAUCUUAAAAUGCCAAAAAUUUUGAUUAAUUCGGUUUUUAUGGCUUUUAAUUUUUAAAAUUGAACUAAACUGAAUUAUAUGUUAAACUGAACUGAACAAACAAAUUUUGGUUGGUCCGGUUCGGUAAUUCAGUUUGAACCCAAUAAAGCUCACCUCCAGAUGCCUUAACAUGAAAAAGUUCGCAGUAAGCUGAUCUUUUAGGCCCUGUUUGGGAGCCUUAAUAUAAUAGAAUACUUGUUCAAACCAGAACUUUGGAUUAAUAUUGUAUGUUUUUUCAUAAAUUUUUUUUGACAACUUUUAUAGAAUUAUACAAUACAAUGAAAUAAUAGGGGCGGCAACUAGCUGAGCUUGAGCGAGCUUAUUUCAUCUCAAACUUGGGUUAAAAUUUUUUUUGAGCUUAAGUUUAAAAUUAAUUCAAGCCUAGCCUAAAUUCGAGUCGAAAAGCGUGAGAUGAGUCUCGAUAGAGUUAAGAUGAUACAACAGACAAACCGUGGCUUCCUGACUGAUGAUUCUUGUGGGUGCAGCAUGCCUCCCCACAAAGUCAAUUAAAAGCAAAACAAGUCUGUGAGUGUGUUUGAGACUGAUUUAAAAUAAUCAUAUAUAUAAAAAUAUAAUAGGACUAAAUCUUUAAAUAUGAUAAUAGCAUUUUUGGCGAUGGCCGAGCGAAAAAGGACUAAAGUAGUUAUAUAAUGGAUGAUAUCCCUAAGAAGUGGGGUAUUACAGUUAUAAUUUUUGUCCGGCUAAAAUGCAUCCUUUGGUACUUUCCCUUCCUUUUCUUUAAAUUUGUUAAAAAUAAUUUAUUAUAUCUCCCUAAAAUAAAAAAAUAUAAUACCUAACUCAUCAUUGUUACUAUUCCGCUAUUAUUUUUUAGGGUUAAUUGCAUACACGUCCUUGCAAAUAUAGUGAAUUACAGAUAUAUCCCUGCAAAGUUCAAUUUUUAUAAGUUGUCCCUACAAAAAUCCUAAUGUAUUCAGAUAUGUCCAUGCCGUUAGUUUUCGUUAGAGAAAUUUUGUUAACCACAAUUAAAAUACUUAACCAUGAUUAAUUAAUGAGGUGAAUUUACAAUUUUACCCCUUUCUUCUUCCUCUCCUUUUUUCUCUUUCCUCUUCUUCGUCGUCGGCGAACCCGACCCCGACCUCGCCGACCUCGACCUCGCCGCGACGGCGAACCCUUUUCCUCUUCCUCUUCCCCCUUAUUCUUCCUCUCCCUCUUCCUCUUCCCUCUUCUUUGUUGCCAGCGAACCUGACCUCGACCUCGCUGCGGCGGCGAACCCUCUCCCUCUUCCCUCUUCCUCUCCAUCUUCCUCUUCCUCUUCCCUCUUCUUCGUCGCCGGCAAACCCGACCCCGACCUCGCCGACCUCGACCUCGCCGCGGCGGCAAAUCCUCUCCCUCUUCCUCUUCCCUUUCUCCCUUCUUCUUUCUCUCCCUCUUCCUCUUCCCUCUUCUUCGUCAUCGACGAAUCCGACCUUGACCUCACUGAAGCGCCACCAAUGCCGCCGACGCCGACCUCCCCCUUACCCCCUUGCCUGCGCACCCUUCCUUCGCUUUCUUCUCCUCCGACUUCGUUGAGGCUGCACCUUGACUUUUCUUUUUUUUUUUCUUUUUUUUUUUUUUUUUUUUUUUCAUUUCGAUCCUCAUAUGGAACCUCCACGACGGAUUGUUGCAUCAUCUUCCUCCGCCUUCACCAACACAUGCACCGACGCCGUUGCUGGAGAAGGAGGACUUGGAGUGAGUGCGGGCAAGAAGCAAAAAAUAAAAAAUAAAAAGAAUGAAAAAUAAAAUAUAAAAAAAUAGUUUUUCUAUAAGAAAAAUGAAGAACCAAAGAGAAAAGAAAAAGACGAUGAAUUUGCACUAUUUCAGAAAAUGUUGCAAUAUUUCAUAAAAACAUUACACUGUUUCAGAAUAAAUUUACACUCUUUGAGAGAAAAAAUAUAUUUUUUAAAUACACACUUUUUGAAUGAAAAUUGCAUUAUGUGGACAAAAAUUACACUAUUUUUUCUCUUUAUUUUCAUCCUCUUUCUUACCAAAUAGUGCAAUUUUUAACCAAAUAGUGCAAUUUUCGUUCGAAUAGUAUAAUUUUCGUUCAAAGAAUGUAAUUUUAUUAAAAAAAUUAUUUUUUUCUCUCAAAAGGGUAAUUUUUUUUUUCAAAAAUAGUACAAUGUUUCUCUGAAAUAGUGCAAUAUUUUCCUGAAAUAGUGCAAAUUCAUUAUUUUCUUAUUUUCUCUCUAGUGCUUUAUUUUUUCUUAUAGAAAAAACUAUUUUUCUUUAUAUUUUAUAUUUUAUAUUUUAUUCAUUUUAGUUUUUUAUUUUCUACAUAUUUUUCCUUGCUCCGCUCUCACCCGCACUUACUCCAAGUCCUCCUUCUCCGGCACCCUCGUCGGUGUUUGCACCGGCGAAGGCGAAGAAAGAAGAUGCGGCGCUGUACUCAUUACCGUCGUGGAGAGUCAUGGAGGCAGUAAAGGGGGAUUGAAGAGAAAAAAAAAAGAACAAGAGAAAAAAAGAAGAGGAAGAGUACGUGAGGUUGUAAAGAGUCGAAGAGACGGUGGAGGAGGGUCGGAGAGGGAGAAAAAAAAAGAGGGUUGAGACACGGCCUCGGCGGGGUCGAAAGCGAGGAAGGCGGAGGAUGGGUGUGUGGGCGAGGGCACGUGGAACAGAACGCCUCCGCCUCCACUGUCUUCUCCGGAGAGAAAGAAAAAAGAUAACAAGAGAAAAAAAAGAGAAGAGAGAAAAAAGAAUAAAAAUAUUUUAGUGAGUUUUUUAAAAUUCAAUUCAAAUUUGCAAAAUUCAAAAAAAUAAUUUAUUUUUAAAAAAUUUAAAAUCAAUAAUUUUUUUAUACAAAUUAGCCAAAAAAAAAAAUAGUUGAGUGGGUUUUUGAAAAAAGAAAAAAAAAAAAAAUUGUUGUCAAGACACGUUUGUUGAGGACAAAUAGUAUAGUGUCGUGUAAUGAUCCAAUCCUAUUUCAUAGCCUCUGCGUUUAAAGGGUCCGUGGGGCCGGAUCCAUCGUCAUCCUCUUCGAUCCCCGAAACCCUAACUCUCGUGGAGCCAUGGUGCUUGGGCAAGAGGGUCCGCGAAUGAGCUCCCAAGCUCGGAGCUUGGAGGGGGAGAAGGUGGUUUUGGUGCCUUACAUGCGGGAGCACGUACCGAGGUACCACGCGUGGAUGCAGGACCCGGCGCUCCUCGUCGCCACUGGAUCGGAGCCGCUCUCGCUAGACCAGGAGUACGAGAUGCACCUCUCAUGGACCCGCGACCCCAAUAGUACUCUCCCUUCGCCUACGCUUCUGAUUCUGGUGCUCCGCGAGUCGAUUAGGGUUUUUAGUGAGGAUGGUGAUGGUGAUGAUCGUGUUUCUGUGUUGCAGAGCAUACGUUCAUAGUUUUGGAUAAGCAGUUGAUCCAUGGGAGUUUUGUCGAAGGGAGUCCGCAUGUUGAAGGUUAAUUCUUUUUACCUCGAAAUCCAUUUUGUGUGUAGUUGUUGGCUUUUGUUUGUUGUUUUGAAUGUCUAUCUCGUGUUCGUGAUAUUGUGUAGGAGGUACGUUUCAAAUUGGCGUUUCUUUUUUCUUUUCUUUUUUUUUUGAUGUUCGAGCUAGUUGAUUCCAUUUGCAGGGUAUCAGUUUUCUUGAAUUAUAUUAUACGAUUGUUAUUCUCCGAAAGCGUAAGCCACCGGAGAGAACGACGUUUUUAGUACUUGUAUUCAACAUUCCUCCUUACCUCUAGGAUCGAGAGUUUUUUGACAGGCCCAAGACGGAGAAUUGGAAUAAAUGAGAGGAAACUGAAUGAAGCUAGGAUCCUGAUAGGAUUUGAAUUCAGGACUCGUGCUCUGCUCUGAUAACAUAUUACCCAAACGAUCAAUCUAGAAGAAAAUAAGUCCGAAAACAUAUAUUAACAAGUUUGAACUAUUGAAUGAUAAGUAGAUAGUGUAGAACGAACCUACAUAGGCUUUGAGGAGGACUGAUUUAGAUCCCAACUAUUAGAAGAAGAUUAUGCGGAAAGAAGACCGUCCUAGAGGACUUAGGAGAAGAAGUUUGAAGUGUUUUGUGGUGUAGAAAAAGAAGAAGAUUCUUCUCCAUGUCUUAUUUAUAGGCAUCAAGGAGGGAUGAGAUAUGCGCCUUCCCACUAAGCCACCCAAUAACGUUUGCCCCUCUAGCCUCUAGGUAAAAUUGGGCCCAAUUCACCUUAUCUUCAAGUGUAAAAACUAGAAAAGAAAAUCAAUGAAAGUAAAAAACUAAGAAAAUCCCAAUUACUUUUGGCUUUCCAAAGCCCAAAUUAACCGGUGUUAAAUCACCUACAUUUAAAACAAUAAAUGUCCAAUUAUUUGUUCUGGCACACCUGAAAAUUUGUGCGAGAAAACUCGAAUCUCAUUAAACUCUCUGUGAGCUUUCAGAACAUAGAAAACCUAAUGUUUUUAUUUCCGUGUGUGGGAAGGUUGAUACCAGAGAACGAGAAAAGGAAAAUAGGACUAAAGACUAUUGAAGUGGUUUUCAUAGGAUAUGCCCUAGAUAAUAUUGCCAAUAAGUUGCUAGUCAUAAACUUUGAAGUUAGUGAGAUAUGUAAUAGCUCCGUAAUUGAGGUUAGGGAUGGUGUGUGCUUUGAGGACACUUUCCCCUGGGCUGACUAUUGAUUAAGUAUAUGGCCAGCUCUACUAGUAAUAGAUCUACAUAACAAGAGGGCUUGAUAAAACUUAGAAUUAAGAAAAGUAGAAUAAAAGAAACUUUUGGAGUUUCUUUUAGUGACGACUUCUGCAUCCUAUUAUUGAUCUGCUUGAAUGGAUUCAAAAUCAAUAUGUCGGAUAAAGGUGUACUCAAAGGACUAUUAAUGGCAUAUUGGCAUUAAAUAGAAUGACAUCAGAAGUUUGUCUCAUCGGUCCCCUUGAUUGGAUUCAAAACCAAUAAGUCUGAUAAAUGUGUGUACUCAAAGGACCGUAAUAGAUAAAAGACUAUUCUAUGCUUGUAUAUAGAUAGGUUCUUGUUAACACCAAUGAUAUUACCAAUAUGGGUCGGAUUAAUGAUGCAAAGAUCCUUCUUUGUCAAACUUUGACCCGGAGGAUCUCGGGUAAUCUGUUGUUCAUAACAUCAAUAUUAUUAGAAGAUCUUAUGAGAUUAUCGAGUCCUAAUCUGACUACUCUGAACAACUGUUCAAAAAGUUUGGUACUUCAACCGUAUGGCUGAUCCUGUAUGUAUGACUCUGGCUCCGUUCCAAAACAUAGUUGACAUGAGCAUCCUUCUAUAUGAACUUGUGAAUUCAGGUAACUCAAGCUCUUAAAGUAAGUAUUGAGGUAUGUGACCUUGUGUUAUAUCCUUGGGUGAUAUGCCCAUCAUUCAUCAGCAUAGUACGACACUUGCUGCAUGGCUCACACAAAGGCAGCACUUAAGUCGUGCAUUAAACUAGGAAACCUGACUUCGUAACUUACAAUUCAUUGAUUUGAGUGGUAGGAUAGAAACCAGGAUAUGCCUUUAGAUGAACCAGCUUAAAUCUAUACUCUUCCUAAAGCCUACAUACCUGACCUAUAUGUAGAAUGAAUACAAGAUAAUCUGUACAUAGGAUGAACACAACUAUAGAACCCAUUCUGCAGGCUAGUUCUGGUAAUAAUCAUGCUUAAAUGAGUGACUUUACAUGCCUUGCGAUAUUUGUUAGCUUCGCUCUUUGUGAUGUUAAGCAGAGUUGCCAUUUUAGUGGUUUGAAUGUUUGACCAACCAAUUCUCGUUUAGCAUGUCUGAUUCAAGAAUUAUAGACAAUAGCCUUUAAAAGAUGCUGUUGAGGGUAUGGAAAAGAAUUGAAGAAACCUUUUAGGUAAGAUCAGUCCAAAUCCUGCCUGGACCUGUCUUUAAAUAAAUGACAAGUGCAUUUGUAUUUGUUUUGAUCCUCUAAGCUUUCUCCCUUCUAUAUAGAGGUGCCUCACACUGAUUGGAUGGCUCUAAUAAUAUUGACCUUGUUUUUAUUUACUAAAGCCCAAACAGGCCCAACCUGGAAACUUUCGAAUGCCCGUGUCCUGAAUUUUCAUAGUUACUGGUAGUUGCUAAAUCAUGAUUAAUCUAUAUGUGUUAGAUCUCUCGAUUUAAGGCUGUCACUACUACACAGAAUCCUCUUGCAUUAAUUAUUUUGCACUCUGAUUUAAACUUAGUAUAGAAAGUGUACUUAUAUAUUAGUUAAAUAACUCACUUUAGCGAAAGCUUGUAUUAUAGUGACCAUUUUAAUAAUUUGGCAUUGUUUUGAUACAGCUAUGGUUGGCGACAUAAACAUUUACAUGAAUGAUCCUGAUGACUUACAAGUCGCAGAAAUUGAGAUUAUGAUAGCUGAACCAAAAAGGUAUCACUUAUGUACAAUAUGGACAAUUCCAUAAUAUCUAUCUCCUCUUCGAUUUGUCUUCUGAGGAACUUCAGUAUCACAUGAUCUGAUGAGUGGUCUACUUUAGAUGAACCAUGGCAACGUAACAUAGAAAUAUAUACCAAAAUGUUGUAGUAGAUUUGGUGGUAUGCAAGUAAUAUUUUGAUAAAUAUGGCAGCAAUGCUGCAAUAGGAAGGACCAUAAAUUGAUGCUUGUAGGCUUAAGACUAGGCAAAUCAAACGGACAGGGAUGAAGAAUAAUAAACCACCUAUAGGGUGCCGUUCUUCGGUUCUUGGAAGGUCUUCUCUUCAUAUGCAGAAACAGACUUGGUUAUAGCUACAGAGAUGGUAUAUGUCUGUAGAUUUUUGUUGUGUCUUUCUUGAAUAUUACUGCCAAGUUGCUCGAUGUGCCUGUGUUUGUGCAUGAACAUACAUGUGUUGCUGUGCAUAUGCUUCUUGUGCCUGUUUUCAUGUGUCUGCGUACGGUCGCAUGUCUGUUUGUGCCUGCACUGGGGCUUGCAUGUGCCGGUGUCUGUUAGCACAUUCAAGUGUGCGCUUGAAAAUUUGUACAUCAAGGGAGAUGGAUUUGGUAUUUCUUGUUGUCACAAAGAGUGCGUCCUUCAUCUGUUGGCAAGCAAAUUGCGAAUCCACUAGGCUGACACUGCAUGUCAAGUCAACAAUCCAACAUUCUGACUUUUUGAAAGUUUCUAGUGGUUGUGAAAGGAGACUAGUUGUUUUCGUUAUAACACACCCCGGAUUACACGUUCCCCAGGCACGCCGACAAAUCCGCCGUAUACAAAGAAUUUUCCUUGUAUAUGAAGCGUAGCUGCAACUGUAAAACAUACAAUACUACAACCAGUAGUAUAGAGCUGUAAUGAAACUAAACAGGUAGAACAAAAACAAGUUCCAUAUACAUAUAUAGUAUCAAGGUACAAAAGUACUCGCUUCAGCGAGUUACAACAUCUGUAUGUACAUGAACCCGAAAUAAGAAGAGUACUACUACCUGCAGCAGUGGAUCCUCUAUUUCGGCAACUCGUCGGGUAGGGCUCUAACUCGCAACGCCCUUGCCACGAUCAGCCUCAGAAGGUGCAGCAGCCGGAACCGAGGGCUCUGCAAAAGAAGAGUAACAACUGGGCGUGAGAACUACUGUAAAAACUAGGCCUCAGUGGGUGCCGCCCUCAACACUGCCGGUCCACCUACUAAGUCUACAGAAGGAAGCAAAGAUAGUAGGAAAAGCUGAAAGAAAGCUACAGCUAAAAGCCUCUACACUAUCCUGCUCUACUUUAACCAACUGUAGUACAUGUCCAUCUUGAUCCAAUCUCACUGGGACUGUAAGCAUAUCCGUUCCCGGGACUGUGAACACAUCCGUCUCACCUGUCUAAGCCAACGCUACCUCCACGACUAAGCAGUCCAUGGAUAGCAAGUAAUCAGCGACAUCAACGCAAAAGCACUAAGCCUGACUUCGGAGUGGCAGUGUGACACUCGUGGGCAUAACCCAACCGAGUAUGCAAGCGUGUCUCUGUUGAGCUCAAUCAGGCUCUCAUAGGCUAAAGUCAAGUAAUAGGGUCCAACUGUCUAACAAUCAACAAGUCACGUGCCCUUGACACAAUCUGACGCCAAAACGGCGAUUCGGAUCCACUGUCAACCCCGAUGGCACCCAACAGUCCGGAACAAUCUAAAAGCUACUGUAAAAAUAGGCUCGACACUCCAGCACGAGCGUAACAGCUAUCUAAACUAUAUGGGGUAUCCGCCACGCUGAAACUGCGGCGAUACAAACUAACAACGGCCCCUAAAGCUAAAUCAUAUAGUUUAAACAUAUGACGGGUUCAAAUCGCAGGUUUUCUCCUAAGUCAAAUUAAAGUCCAACAUGUGCUAGUAGAUACAGACAAACGACACGGCUCCAAUUCAGAUUUUAUUAAGAACUAUACUAAAUCAAUGAAUCGAGCAAAUGCAAUAUACAACAUACUACCGCGCACACAUGCCGACUAUAUAUAUAUGCACUUAGAAGGCAAACCGACGAUUAACCUACCUCGAUAGCUACUCCCAAUCCGGCGCGACGUCGAGAACGGCAGAAUCACACCCUCGCCCGGCCUCCCCCCGACGCUACGACGACGAACGUGCGCUUGAACGGCACCGCGGUGCGACGUCGGCGUCGAUUCGACUCCAUCCGAGAGCUCCUCCACGUACGACUCUCCACUUCAAACUAGAGAGAGAAAGGAACUUAAUUACAAAGUGCAAUACCUCUUUAAUUAAGUUCUACGUGCACUUAAAUAGGGAGUGGAUAAGCAUGGGUAGGUGGAAUUCUUAUCCACAACAAUUACAAUUCUAAUCUUUACCAACUCAUGAAGACAUACUACAUUCUCUCCCACUACAAGAAGUUUCAUCCUCGAAACUUAAAACAUAUCUCAAACCUGAGUCUUAAAAAGAUAGGGGUAGGACUCCCUCAUCACCGCCUCGGGCUCCCAAGUCGCCUUCCGCUCCUUGUGAUUACUCCACUACACCUUUACAUCCGGAAUGACCCGAUUGCGUAAUUCUUUCGACUCCCAAGCAAGAAUCCGCAACGGUCGCUUCUCGUAUCUCAGAUUCUCACCAAUCUAGAGUGGAGUGAAGUCAAUCACGUGAGAGGGAUCGAAAACAUAUCUCCUCAAUGCCGAGACAUGGAAGACAUCAUGAAUACCGGCCAGACGAGGAGGUAGAGCAAUCCUGUAAGCAACCUGUCCAACUCGCUCCAAUACCUCAAAGGGGCCAACAAAACGUGGACUGAGUUUUCUACGCACUCCAAAUCUGCGAAUCUCUCU
rnacentral:lncRNA from 1 species